UACGAAGGGUGCAAGCGUUACUCGGAAUUACUGGGCGUAAAGCGUGCGUAGGUGGUUCGUUAAGUCUGAUGUGAAAGCCCUGGGCUCAACCUGGGAAUGGCAUUGGAUACUGGCGGGCUGGAGUGCGGUAGAGGAUGGCGGAAUUCCCGGUGUAGCAGUGAAAUGCGUAGAGAUCGGGAGGAACAUCUGUGGCGAAGGCGGCCAUCUGGACCAGCACUGACACUGAGGCACGAAAGCGUGGGGAGCGAACAGG
rnacentral:rRNA from 1 species